rnacentral:piRNA from 1 species
UCAGAGAUACCUAAAUGAACUGUAGUGCUA